CCGCGGUGGAUCUGGAGCUCCUAGAUGUCCGGGGAGGGUAUUUCUACAGGCUGGGGCAGGCGCGGAGAGCAGAAGCCGACCAAACUACCCACCAGAGCAGGGCCACGGGGCUGCUCCGCGCUGCGGGGCGCUGCACCGUGCACAGUCAGGCCGGGCCAUACCUCCAGACGCUGUAUGCCGCCGACUCCCCGCCUAGCCGCCGCUCCGGCUCAUAAACUAGUAGACGAUAAAAUUGCCUUCUCUGGCCCCAGCGGCUGGGGAUUUGCAAAGUUCUGAGGAAGGCUAUCAGGGCUGACUGUGCUGGGAUCUCUGAUCCCAGCUAGGACCUCAGUCUCCUAACCUGGCUCCCUCUUCCCCACCCCACCCCUGAGAAACGUUGUUUCUGGUCCUGACGGCUGGAAGUGAUUAGUGCUGCAUGGGUCGGGGGCGCAACACUUGGGAGGACCUGGCCUGGCGGAGCGACUGCAACUGGGAAUAGUGGGGAUGCCACGAAGAAGCAAGCACAGGUGAAUGGACCCGAGGCUGCCCCACCUGACGAAAUCAGAACACACAGAGAAGCUGCCGGGAGACCCGGGCCGCAGGAGAGAAGACCCAGGGAACUCCCAGCUGGUGCAACUGCCCAGGAGGGGUCUUUGUCAGUGAGGACUGGCAAAAUCAGUCGAUUUUGUCUGUCUUUAUCUUCUUUUUAUUAAGCUCCCAUAGUUCAGGUAUGUAUGGUUUCCCCAGCCUGCAGAGGCUCAGAAACUGCCAAGGGGAGCAAGGUGCCCUGACCAGAGAGGGGUCACUCCCCAUAGAAGAGAGACUUGAAGGGCAGACUUCACGGACCCAGCUGGAUCUUGGGACAUUCCUGACAACCCAGAAAGCGCUACUGCGGAGUGAACCGGUCCUUAUAUCUUAGUUUCGUGACUUUGGGGGCGGCAGGCCUGUGAGUUGUUUUCCGCCCUGGACGCUGUUUUGCAAAGAUCUCUGCGCGCCCACCGCCACCCUCCCGGGCGUGCGGGCCGGGAAGCAGCCAGCGGUGGGAAACUCCGACGCCCUCCUCGACACUUUUCUCCCCCCAACUCCCCAAGACUCACUUCUAGGGAAGUCCUUUUUCCCAUCAAGCCCUGGGAAAGACUGGCCAGGCUGAGAGAGGGACCCGUCCUCCUCUGUGCCAAAGGCGGGAGCAAAUCCUGGUGCUGUCGCCUUUGGAUGUGAGUCCUGGAAAUGGCGGGGGUGAGGAAGGUGGGCAGGGGCAAGGUUUGGCCCUCAGGCGAGAACCGACGCCUUGUCCCGGAAGCGCAGCACGGCCGAGUGCGUCCGGGGGUGCAGACGGCGCCCUGGGGUGGUCCUGCCGCCACCUCUCCUUUGACUCAGGAGCGCCGCGCCGCGUCCGGGCGCGUUCUCAGUCGCGCGAAGCCAGAGAGGACCCUGGGCGUGAUUCUCCCUCCCUGGCACAGACGGAGACCCGAGUGACCCCGGGGUCCGGGUGGGCGUGGGGAAUGGACCCAUAGACCCGGGACGAGCGGCGCGGAGCCCGCAGCUGGCCAGCUUCAGCCACCUUGGGAGACGCAGUGCAGCUGCCGCUGCUGACAGACAAGACCAAGGCUCGGCUGGGCCCCACCCCAGAUCCGGCCUGAGCGCCUUCCGCGCUGCUCGGCCUCAAGGCGAAACUUUUCGCGCAGAAACUCCUGGAGAACAGCCCCGGCCGCCAGGAAAGAAGCGUACCCAGGCCGUCUGCUGUGUGCCCACCCCGAUCCCCAUCAGUGCCCCACGCACUCGAGCUCUUCUUCGGCGUCUGCAGCCUCUUCAUCCGCGCGGAGAGGCGGAGGUCUCCCGGAAACAGUGUCCGACUGUGGCACCCCAGAGCGUCCAAUGCGAGCUCAGGCCUUUCCCGCAAGUCUGGAGUUUUCUUAUCCAGUUGAGGCCGCCUUCGCUGUACUCACUCUCUGCCUCCCACCCCAUCUUCUGCCACCCGACCUCCAUCUUUGAUGGUUAGCGCCUUCAGCCCUCAACAGCUUCGCACAACCAACCCCUAGAAGCCGUGGAGUCAGACCGGCCAGGGUGGGACCUAGGUUUUAACUCGGGUUCUGGCUACACACGCUGCGCCUCCAUACAGUUUGUCCCAGGUUUGGCAGCAGGCCGGCUACCUUCAGGAAUUCUUUGCUUUGGCUUCUGUCUGUUCCUGUCUGUUGGGCAAGUUUCUAGCUACCCCACUGAGAGAACCAUAGAACAAGGACCCUGGCAUGGCAUACAGACAAGGAAUGUUUGCUGAAUUAAUGGAGCUGGUGCCUUGCAGCUUCCCUUUUGUUCCUUGAAGUUGCCCUUGCUCUCCUCCACAUCAGCUCCCUCUCCUCCUCAGCUACUUAUUCCCCACCCUGGCUUCUUCUAGUCGCAGUCCCCAAGUACUUGCUGAAUCCUGUAUGGACAGCCUAAGCCUCCAUUUCUGACAAUUCCUGUGGCCCCACUCCAUUUGUUUUUUAGACUUCUCCCU
rnacentral:lncRNA from 1 species